AAAAUUACAAAAAUGAGCGUAUUUACUAGAAAAUUUAUAAUUUUAUUGGUCCAAAAUUAGUACAUUCGCUCAUUUUUGUAAUUUUUACCCUCACUUGAAUUACAGAAUCGAUACCCAAAAUAUGUAUGUACAUAUGUCAGUAUCGCAUUCGCACAUGAGAUAUUAGACUUUAAGUACGAAGGAUAUAACAUUUUUUUCUUGUGAAAUAAUCUCAAAAAUGAUUUAAUGUUAUACAGAAAAAUUAUUUAUUCGUAUAUAUAUUAUUUGUGGAAGUGAUAAAUUCAUACGGACAAUUAUUAUUAUUUUCUAGUAAAGUUUGUAAUUAAUGUUACGAAGAAUUAAUUCGCACUAUGUUUAAAAUUUUGGAUUGUUGAAAUUAGCAAAAAUGAACAUUGGUUUAAUUCUUAGAUCGGUGCACCAAACAAUUAAUUCUAUUGUUCCAAAAAUUUUAACAACUGGAACUGUUCAAAAUAUAUUGGUUCGUAGUAUCCACUAUAUAUGCGACAGGCAGGAAUUAAGAUACUCAUUGAACAGUGAUUUCAGUCACGACACACCCUCUUUUCUGCGACCAGUGCUACCUAUAUAUAACUCGGUAUGUGGUUUAAAAAUGAGAGGUCGCUUGCAACUUCGUUGCAAGGACUGUUAUUUUGUAUGCAGAAAAGAAAGAUGGUAUGUGAUGUGUAAAACACAUCCGAGGCACAAACAAGUGCAGAUGAAAAAGAGAGAUUAUAAAACGUGGAUUCUAACAUCAGCUUCGCAAAAACCAAUUCGAGGCUGGUAGUGAGAUGUAUAGAUUGUAAACCUUGAAAUAUAAAAUAUCAAUGUACAGAACAAAUAAAAUAUUAAUACUUCCAACAUAUAGCACAUGAAUUGUGAAUGUGUAUGUUAACCCAAAGUUAUAAUAUCCAUUAUUCUAAUUUUAUUUGUGUAUAAGAAAUUAAUUUGCAUAAUAAAAUUUUUUUUUUGGUUUUUC